GGAUGUGAGUGUGAUCUGGUUCUGCCAUCCGUUCCCCAUUGAUCACUAGGGUUGAUUUGGCUUAUUUGCCUGGCUAGGCAGGUAUUCCCUGCUUCUUUCACCACUCCAUGUGAGCUCCUCCAGAGGCUGGGAGAUUGGUUGAAGAGGAUGACCACCUCUGAUAGAGGAGGACCAUGUCUUAAGACAAGGGUAUACGAUUAGCUGUGCUCCCUUGCUAGAAUCUCCAAAUAAAGUCUUAAGCUUUGUAGCUUAUAUACUCUCUUAAUAAGGAAGAUGGAAGAGAAAGAUGUAGGCUAUUUUUAGGGGAAGAGUAAGUGAUUUU
rnacentral:snRNA from 1 species